GCUUGCUUGAAUUCCUCAAUCGCUAGCUUGGUGAAUUACUUGUUGCGACUGGAGGUUGACUACUACUAUUACAUAUGCCACUUGCAUUUGAGAAAAAUCAAAGAUACCCGAAAACUGUUUGCCUUGUACCAUAUUGUUGAACAUGAAAAUUUACCCUGAAUUCAACUUCGAUUCAUGGAUCUGAAUAUUCAAACAUUUCAAACAUAAAAUGGAAAUACUGCCAAAUGGACAAUAAUAAAGUGAAUAUGUAGUUGUUAAAAACCAUCGUGUAAUACAUUCAGCUCUGAAUAGCAAAGCGAAGAAGGCAUAUUGAGAACAUAGUUGAGCCAUCCCAUGCUUUAUUUUAUUACAGAGUGGGGUAAUUAUAGCCAUGGAUGUGGCAAGCUUAAAAAAAUAGUGACUCUGCAAGUAGGUGAUAGAUAAGAUAAGACACAGUACCAAGUUUUGAGAGAUUCGGCAUAAACAUAGAAAUGACAAAUAACAAUCACACAUGCUUUAUGUUUAUCAUCAGCGGCACCAAAACUAUUAAGCACCGUGCUCUGAAUGUAAAAUUGGUCAAAAACUUCCUGAAAAUGACCUUUAUUGUUGAUAAAAUACAAAAAGAAACUCUGUAUAGUCCCUGAAUAGCAAAGCAUCCCAUGCUUUAUUUCAGAGUGGGGGUAUUAUAGAUACAGAUCUGGUGACUUGUACAAAUCAGUGACCCAUUUAUAUCCAGCAUCGACGUCCAUCCUCUUUCAUGCUUAUAUAUAGUUUGGUCUGAACUGUACCUGCAAAUGAACAAGAAACAUGGUUGCAGCAAAUAUAGUUAUGUAGAUACAACAACAUAGAUGCAAAUAAACCUAACACACCUUCUUCACUCCUCUAAAACAUCUCGAUAGACAAUGUUUUUGGUGCUUUUCCCAGAUUUAUCAACUUCAUUGUUCGGCUUGGCCAAAAUCCGUGUCGUCUUUCUUGACACUCCCCUUGACAAUGCAACAUAUAGUUGGCCAUGUGAGAAUACAUGUUCGGGAAGGUAAAUACCAACGUGUGGUAUGGUCUGGCUCUGUGCCUUGUUAAUGGUCAUCGCAAAACUUAGACGGAUGGGAAAUUGUUUUCUCUUGAGUUUGAAGGGAAGUGAGUUGUCCUCCGAAGGCGACAUAGGGAUCCUAGGCCAUUAUGAGGGUCAAGGUUCCGGAGUAGAAUGACAGGGCAGUUGACCUUUAAUCUCAAAACAUGCGGUGGCAAUCCAUUUGGUGUGAUCGAGUUCAAAAAAUCAAUUGUGUAAUUAUUCUGCAAGUCAUCCUUGAUUGAGUCGAAGCUAUGGUAUAACUUUUCUUCGCCUGGAAACCUGGAGAUCAUCUUGUCAUUUAGAUCAUCCACAUGCUCGUUCUUGGUUGAAAGAAUUGCACGUGCACUCAUGUACUCUCUCGAUAUAGCAUUGGCAUGCAGCGCAGGGAAGACACCUUCGAUGAGCCUGUUAAUAGCUUUUUUAUUCUCGGUAUAGCCAAUCACAAUUUCAUCAGGGAGACGCACAUAGUCGUUGCCAAGAGUCUCUUCUGUUCCAUUGCCGAUCCUUAGGAGGUGUUCGGAAAACCAAGGAUCAUCCUGUGCCCGCAUAUUGCGCGUGAGGCGUAUCUUUUGGGUCUUCUCCCACAUAUAGGAUCUGAGAAGUGUAGCAUCCGUUAUUUGUGCUCUUAUCCCACGUGUCACAACGGGAAGGACCUGCCUGAAAUCCCCACCAAAGACAACAACCUUUCCCCCAAAAGGCAAUGGACAUUCCAUUAUAUCCUGUAAUGAUCUAUCAAGCGUCUCAACGGCUUGACGUUUUGUCAUAGCGACUUCAUCCCAGAUUAUCAAGGAUGCCUGUUUAAGCAACUCUGUUGUGCCACUCUGCUUUGUGAAACUACACAUGCUGUUGUCAGUAAGUUUGAUUGGAAUUUUGAACCUGGAAUGCGCAGUCCGGCCUCCAGGCAUUAUCGAUGCAGCUAUACCGGAUGUAGCAGUUGCAAUUGCUAUUAGGCCCAUGGAACGCACCUUUGCAAGCAAUGCCUUGUACAAGUACAUCUUCCCAGUGCCUCCUGGACCAUCAACAAAGAAUAUCUGGCUUUUUUGGUUGACCACAUGAUCCAUUAUGUCAUUGAAACCAGCGAGCUGCUCACUAUUCAAACUGCUAAAUAAAUCCAAAUGUUCUUUGUCUGCGGUGACUUGCCUCUCCUCUAUAACCUCUCUAUACUCAGUAUCAUAGGAACAAUUGAUGUCAACCAGAUCCGGAAGUCCAUAGGUUGUAAUAUCCUUUCCCAUUGAUUGCAACAUAUCCCUGAUAUCUCUAAGGACCAUCUGCUCAAGUUCUGCCUCAUUGGAUUGAUCACGAUGGUAAUCCUCUGACAUUGAAGCUAGAUGUUUGUCCCACAUCUUUCGGAUUUCUGUUGCCUCACGAAAUACCAGUAUAGUCGCAAACAGCCGUCUUAGGGCACAAGGCAUCUGAAAUGUGGCGGCCUCUAUCAUGCAAUCAUCAAGGGUCUUGUCGUGAUCAAUGAGGCCUAAGUGCUCACAAGCCUCCCUGAAGGAACCUCAUAACUUGCCAUUUACUGUUUUUAAAUCAUCAAAUGAUGUGGCACCUCGGACAUGACUUAGGAGCACACGCAAAUAGUACCUCUCUCCUUCAGCAGGAUGUGCAUACACAAGUCUACCAAUUUGUGAUCUCCUAUUUUUUCUGUUCUGCCACUUUUUAUUUCCGGCAAUCCACCUAUAAUGUUCUGGAAACUCUCUGUACAACCAUUUCCGUGCCUCCGAAAACUUCCGGUUCAUUUCAAAAUACUCGGUUAGCAUGGAUUUAGAAGAGUUUGGUCGAGCGAAAACAUCUUCUAGAUUUUCAUAAGCUUUAAAUGCAACUGUAUGCAUGUUUUCCAAAUGAAGUUGGAGCUACAUAGAUGGACUGACACCGAACAUUUUAAAACCGAAAAUCCUGUAAAUAGCCUCUGGAGGAGAUACAUAGCGUGCAUCCCUGUGAUACGUCUCAAACGUAUCUAUAAUUUCCGAUGUUCCAUGCUAGUUUUAUGACAAUACUCACAUGUUUUAUACACACUUUAUGUCAUUAUUAUGCAUUUUCUGGAACUAACCUAUUAACAAGAUGCCACAGUGCCAGUUCUUGUUUUCUGUUGUUUUUGGUUCCAGAAAGGCUGUUCGGGCAAUAUUCUCGGAAUUCGACGAAACAAAGACCAAACAUCUUAUUUCACCGGGAAGGUUCCAGAAGUCCGAAGGGGAGACGAAGAUGGGCCAGGGGGCCCCACACCUCACCUGGGCGCGGGCCCAAGCCUGGCCGCGCCACCAGGUGGGGAGGGCACCCUGGUGCCCCUCCUGCGCCGCCUCUUCGCCUAUAUAAGCCCUCGUGACCUAAAACUUCGAUACCGAUUGACGAAACUACAGAAAGACUCCAGGGACGCCGCCGCCAUCGCGAAACUCCAAUUCGGGGGACAUAAGUCUCUGUUUCGGCACCCUGCCGGGACGGGGAAUUGCCCCCGGAGCCAUCUCCAUCGACACCACCGCCAUCUUCAUCGCCGUUGCUGUCUCUUAUGAUGAGGAGGGAGUAGUUCUCCCCCGAGGCUGAGGGCUCUACCGGUAGCUAUGUGGUUCAUCUCUCUCUCCCAUGUACUUCAAUACAAUGAUCUCAUGAGCUGCCUUACAUGAUUGAGAUUCAUAUGAUGAGCUUUGUAAUCUAGAUGUCAUAUGCUAUUCAAGUGCUUAA